UGAUGAGAAAGGUGAUGAGAGUGGUCAUGCAACCGGGAGUCAGAAUGAGAACCCCAGUGUCAAUCCCAAAUCUUCAGGAAACUCGAAAAAUGGAAUCGUUGUUUUCGUUUAGCUCUAUCAUCAAAGGCAGGGAAGAAUUCAGUGCUUCUACCUACUAGGCGCUUCAAAACUAAGGACAUGAUGCAGUCUGAAGAGGAGAUGUUCAUGGCGUCUUUGAUCUGCAAUUUGGAAGUUGAUUGUGGGAAGCUUCUAGUCUGCAAAUCUGAUCUUGAUUGUAUAAA